AUACGUAGGGUGCAAGCGUUAAUCGGAAUUACUGGGCGUAAAGCGUGCGCAGGCGGUUCGGAAAGAAGGAUGUGAAAUCCCAGGGCUCAACCUUGGAACUGCAUUCUUAACUACCGAACUAGAGUAUGUCAGAGGGGGGUAGAAUUCCGCGUGUAGCAGUGAAAUGCGUAGAUAUGCGGAGGAAUACCGAUGGCGAAGGCAGCCCCCUGGGAUAAUACUGACGCUCAUGCACGAAAGCGUGGGCAGCAAACAGGAUUAGAUACCCUGGUAGUCCACGCCCUAAACGAUGUCAACUAGCUGUUGGGCCCUUCGGGGCUUAGUAGCGUAGCUAACGCGUGAAGCUGACCGCCUGGGGAGUACGGUCGCAAGAUUAAAACUCAAAUGAAUUGGCGGGG
rnacentral:rRNA from 1 species